UAUAUAUAUAUAUAUAUAUAUGCUUAGCAAAAAGAGGUGAUUUUGCUACUUCUACUUAAUUUUUGCUGAAUUUUGAUUUACUUACUGAAGAAAAUCUGUUGCGUUGGCUUGACGUGGAAGGGAUUUAUCCAUGAGAAUGGAAAUGUUUUGGAGUUUAUUUAAGCUGACCUCUUAUUGGCAAAUAUAUUUAAAUGACAGUUCUAUUAAGAGACUAAAUCAGUUUCUGAAGUAGAUCACCUGAAAAAGCUGGAACAGAACAAACUCCAGGAAACUGAGAUCCUUCAGCCUGGGGAGAGUUUGCUGGAGAAGUCAUUUCCCACACCAGCUCCUUCCAUUAGCAUACCUUCCAUCUCUGAACAGAAACAGACUGAGGCUUAGAUGCCUUUGGUACGUUGCUGGGUAAAACCUUGGUAAGAUGACAUUUUGUUUUAACUUUGAGGUUUGCAAACAAGUGAUGAGACCAAGUUAGAUGGCUGUAAUCCCACUGUAGGCUCAUCUUAAUCUCACCUAAUGCAAGUGAGAAAUAGCUAAACAUGAAGGUUGCUCAGAAAGUAUUUUGGGUUUUUUUUUCCCCCUUCUUUCACAAAAUUACUGAUAAUGGCUACUCUAUAGAAGACUUAGUCACUCAGUACGUACAGAUAACAUUAAUGAUUUGCUUUAUUACCAGUUUUCUGAUCCUCCCUUCAAAUGGAAGAACCUGUAUUUCUGCAAUUGUAUUUUCAUUUGUCUUCAGGUAAGGAAAAAAUUCAUUCAGUACAUGAAUUAAGUACAUGAGUUAAACUAGAACCUUUAAUCUAACAUGUUCCCUCCCCAGUAUCCCUUAUUAUGUGAGUUUUGCUUCUCUGCAGUCAUCUUUAAUCAAUGAGUCAGCAGGCUUGCUCUGUGUCUGCUGGUCAGAGCCCAGAACUCAGCUGCUGAAACGUGGGAAGACAGUCUCAAGUUGAGCCCACUUAACAGGCAAAGAGAGACACAUCCUGCCCCUACAUUGUGAAACUGCCCCUCCUAACUGAGAAAAAAUGCUUCUGGAAAUAAAGGACUGCCGUUUGCAAAAUUGAACCUGGAACUUUUGUGAACAUUAGGACGGAAAAAGAAAAGAAAGAGGCGUUAUCCAUUGCAGCUCUUUGUCAAGAGAACAGCCCUGGGUUGCAUUCCUCAAAGAAGACCGCUUUUUGGCACAGGGAGUUAUGGAGCCCUUCUUUCCUGGGGGUCUUCAGGAAACGUCCACACAUGGCUCACAGCACCAGUGCUGAAUAGGCACCAGCCUUACAACAGCUGCAGCUCUGGCCACCAGCAAAGAACACCAGUUUUAAUGCCAGCAUAUAGGAACAAGGUGUUGUGUCACCCUGCUGUAUCUGCUGGCACACUGAUGAAAAAGUGCUGAGAACACAUGGUAACUUCACAGCUGUUUCUAUCGUUGCUGUCAUCCAUCCCUUUUUAUGAAAUGUGGAGAUUCCUUCUGAAAGUAAGACUAAAAUAUGUACCACACAUUGUAACAGUGUCUUCAAAAAGAAGCUCUGCUUUUAUUCCAAUGGUAGAAUGUAGUGACAGAAACAAGAAAGCUGGUGGGGUUCGUAAGGGUAAGUGUAAUUGUUUAUUACCCCAGAAGCCAGUGUAUUUGUUCAAAAUGCUGGAUUUGAUACAGAAAUUACCUUUUUUUCUAUGAGUGUCUGGGCAAUAAUGUUUCCUGAUUUCAGCAGCUGAUCUUGUACUUUGUCAACAACAGUUACUGUGUGCUGCUUUGUGCUAUCCAUUUCUGAUCAGAAAACAUUAGCAUGUUGCUUCCCUGAUGCUCUCUCUUCCCCUAUCAUCAGUUCAUUUUCUUUUAUUUCCAUUUUUUACCUUUGCUUUUCAUCUUUCACUUUUCUAACUCCACUGAUCCAACUGUUUUCUUUUCUGUUUGUCCUUGUAUUUUAUGUGCUGCUGUCCCAGGUUACCCAACUGAAGAUGGGCAAUGAUGCAUUUCUAAAAAGGCUUCCAGGAAAGUAGAUGCAGCUGUAAGCAUCUAUCAGUAAGUAGUUUUUUAACUACAAGUUCCAGUUAUACCAAAGG